rnacentral:sRNA from 1 species
GACCUAACCCUCGUAGUUUUACUGCAAGGUAUGGUCGCAAAUCGCGUUCAACGUAGAAAUCCCGUCAUUAGGGCGUUGAACGCGUUAUAGGGAGAAAUCCUUAUAGAGGUCGCAAGACCUU